CCUCCUCUGCUACGUCACUCUUUCCCAAUUUACAGACAGAACAGUAGUGGAGAGAGAGCACAUCACCCACCUCCUCCUCUCUCUCUUCUCCGAUGGAUUUCGUAGAAUUGGAAGCUAUAGAAGGCCUCCGAUGGACCUGGAACUCCUGGCCUUCCUCCAAAGCCGACCAAUCCGCUCUCGUCAUCCCCCUCGCCGUCAUGUGCACGCCGUUAAUGCAACAAGCCGAGCUCCCUCUCCUCCCUUACGACCCCGUCACCUGCUCCCAAUGCGCCGCCGUUUUGAACCCCUACGCGCGCGUCGAGUACACCUCCCGCCUCUGGUUCUGCUCCCUCUGCCUCCACAAGAACGCCUUCCCCCACUCCUACUCCAACAUCGGCGACACCAAUCUCCCCGCCGAGCUCUUCCCCACCUACAGCUCCGUCGAGUACUCCCGACCCUCCUCCUCCUCUCCGCCUCCGCCGCCUACGCCCACGCCGAGCCGCACCUGGUCCAACGGCGGCCGCCUCUCCUCCUCGUCGUCGUCGCUGUCGUCGAUGGUGUCGUCGUCGCCGAAAAACAUCUCCGGGCCGGACGAUCCGCGGGCGAUCCGGCCGGCGUUUGUGAUGGUCGUCGACGUGGCCACGCCGAGGGAUGAGCUGGUGGCGCUGAAGAAUGAGCUGCUGCUUGUGCUGGAGCAACUGCCGGAGACGGCUCUGGUGGGAUUGGUGACGUUUGAUUCCAUGGUGCGUGUUCAUGAUCUUGAGUUUUCCGAGUGCUCCAGAGUGGUGGUGCUUCACGGUGACCGGGAGCUCUCGCCGCUUCAGAUUCAAAAAUUUCUGGGCAUUUAUAGGCCUAAGCAGCAGCAACUCGGAAAGAUGCCUUUUUCCCAAAAGCAAGGGUUCUUGCUACCUGUAUCUGAGUGUGAGUUCAACAUUUCAACUGCAAUAGAAGAAAUCCAGUCUUCAGUAGUCAAGCCUGGCCAGCGCCCAGGAAGGUCAACAGGAGCAGCAAUUUCAGCUGCAGUAGGACUUUUGGAAGGAUGCUUGGUAAGCACUGGCUCCAGAGUCAUGGUCUUCAUGUCUGGACCUGCAACUAUAGGCCCAGGAAUUAUUGUCGACCCUGAUCUUGGUUAUUCCAUAAGGACUCACCGAGACCUCAUAAAUGGUCAUGCCCCUUACUAUAGUAAAUCUUGCAGCUUCUACGGUCAAGUGUCACAGAGGUUAACUGAUGCAUGUAUUGUCCUCGAUUUGUUUGCAUGUUCCCUCGAUCAAGCUGGCUCCGCCGAGCUUAAGGAUCCAGUUGAGAGAUCAGGUGGUUUCAUGAUGCUAGGUGAGUCUUUUGAGUCAAAUGAGUUUAGAAAAUGUUUGCGGCACAUUUUCACUCGUGAUGAAGAGGGAUAUCUGAAGAUGUAUUUUGAUGCAACUAUUGAGAUAGUGACCACUAAAGAUGUUAAAAUCUGUGGAGCCCUAGGCCCUUGUGUAUCUCUUCGGAAAGUUAACAGUCUAGUAAGUAGCAGUGAGAUCGGUGAAGGCGGUACUUAUGCAUGGAAAUUAGGUACUAUUACCAAUAAAACAUGCAUCGCCUUUUUCUUUGAAGUUAGUGAUGCGCAUAAAGUUCAACUUGGGUCGGCAUUUUUCAUACAAUUUAUAACACGAUACCGACAUGGGAACAUGGGAAUCCGGAAACGGGUGACAACUGCUGCAAGAAGAUGGGUUGGUAACCGUUCAGCAGAAAUUGCUGCCGGGUUUGAUCAAGAAACAGCGGCUUCUGUGAUUGCCAGGCUUGCUAUCCACCGAGCUGAGACUUGUUUUGCUCGAGAUGUUAUUAGAUGGUUGGAUGACACGUUAAUCCAAUUUGCUUCACAAUUUGGAGACUAUGUGGAGGAAGAUCCAUCUUCUUUCCGCUUGGCAUCCAACUUCUCUAUAUUUCCCCAGUUCAUGUAUUAUUUGAGGAGGUCUCAGUUUAUUGAUGUCUUUAACAGUAGUCCUGAUGAGACAGCUUUCUUCCGGCUGAUGCUGAACCGUGAGGGCGUAGUGGGUUCUCUUAUCAUGAUCCAGCCUACACUUCUGCAAUAUUGUUUUGAUGGUCCACCUAUUCCAGUUCUCCUGGACGUUCGCUCCAUCUCUCCAGAUGUUAUCUUGCUGUUUGAUUCUUACUUUCAUGUGGUCAUUCAUUAUGGGUCGAAGAUUGCUCAGUGGAGGAAGCUUGGUUAUGAUAAGGAUCCAAAUCAUGAGAAUUUGAGGAAGCUGUUGGAAGCCCCAGAAAUUGAUGCACAGCAGUUGGUGGCUGACCGUGCUCCUGCACCAAAGCUCAUUAGAUGUGAUCAGCAUGGUAGCCAGGCAAGGUUUCUUCUUGCAAAGUUGAAUCCAUCAGUUACCCAGAAUUCAACAUACACGAAUGGCUCAGAUAUUAUCUUGACUGAUGAUUUGAGCUUGCAAGUGUUUUUAGAUCACUUGCAGGGCCUGGCAGUGCAAGGCUGAUGUGGAGGAACAUUGUGCUACUUUAGGAUCCACUGAAGGAUAAUAUGGCCACUGUUGUUGAUGAGCUUCAAAAAAAGUUGCUCCAUGUGAAUUCCACAUGGAAGUAAAACAUUUCGGAAUGAGUUAUGACUGGGUGAGCUGAUACUGACACGGAUUGUGCAAUGUAAUAGCUCAUCUUCUGGACUGGCUGUACGACAGAACUGGAGACUACUGCUAAUCUGGUACUAGAUGAGUUUACCUGUUAGCUGAGGGAUAUUCUUGAUUGGCUGAUGUAUGUUGAUGAUAAUGUUGCUGAUCUACUUGUUAACAUGUUGGCUGGUGCAUCCUCACUAGCUAGUCGGCAUCUUCGUUCCAUGCCUGAGGCUUAGAAUAUUGCUAUCAAGUUAGCAGAUAAGGUGAUGUUCAUUAGAAUGAGAAGACUUCGACUCUUCCAGGAACUUGAAAUGUGUGACUUGAGGCUCUUUUAAUUUUUCUAAUUAUCCACGGUGGGGCUUGUCUUUCACGUCAGUUUGGUAGGAGAAUUGAACUUAAGAUCAUUCCUCAUGAGAUCUGUAGUUUUCUAUCUACUAAUCUUUGGAUAAUUUCGAAGCAUGAGGUGCAGUCUUACAUACAAGUACUUGGUAUGAGAAAGAACAUUGGAGUUGGUACUUAUAAUGACCGGUUAUAAUCAUGGUCUAAAAGCAAUCAGAAUCAGCCCCCCUCCGCCCUUUCUUUUGAGUUGCUUCUUUUAUAGAGGCUCUCCAUCACUUGACGGGUAAUAUGAAAAUGGAUUUUGGAAGGGCCAAAAGGCACAGAUACAUAUCAACAUGAUGUGCAGUUUGAAUGGCAUAAUUGUUUGUUUUUGUGAGCUAGAUUGCAUUACGCCAAAAUUUGGAUCUUUAACACAGAAAUGCAACUGUAAGCUAUGCUAUUACUUAUUUGCAUUUGUCUACUACGUGAAU